AUGGCCAUGGCUUUGCAGAGCACUCUGGGGGCAGUGUGGCUGGGGCUUCUUCUCAACCCUCUCUGGAAGGUUGCAGAAAGCAGGGACCAAGUGUCUCAGCCUUCCACAGUGGCAUCUUCGGAGGGAGCUGUGGUGGAAAUCUUCUGUAAUCACUCUGUGUCCAAUGCUUACAAUUUCUUCUGGUACCUUCACUUCCCGGGACGUGAACCAAGACUCCUUGUUAAGGGCUCAAGGCCUUCUCAGCAGGGACGAUACAACAUGACCUAUGAACGGUUCUCUUCAUCACUGCUCAUCCUCCAGGUGCAGGAGGCAGAUGCUGCUGUUUACUACUGUGCUGUGGAGGACACAGAGGCAGGGAACCCAUGAAGAGCUGAACAGAAACAGAGAUCAUGGCUUUUGCAGGAGGCAAAACAGAGACGAGCAAUAACUUUUUCCUUC